rnacentral:lncRNA from 1 species
CGGUAUUCGAUACCAGCGAUACCACAAACAGCGGUAUCGGUAUCGAUUACUGACGUGGUAUCGUUCGAUACUUGCACCCUUUUUUAAACGACUUGUUUAAUUUCACUUCUUGGUUGAAUAAGACUUAAUAAACCACUAAAAUAGCUCUUAAUAUUCCAAAUGUGGUGCGCCAAGUCAUGUAUAGAAAAUAUUUAUUACGUUUCGGGCUUUUGGUUUACUUAUAGCUUUAUUUAGAUUACAUACAGUAAUGUAAAAUGUUUUUCCGCUGACCGGCAGGUAUCUAAAGUACACGCGUAAAAAUUGAUCAGGUUGUUCGGCGUUGUUCAUUGAACAAUGCCUGAACAAUGUUGUUAUCAUGGCUGAACAACGUUGUUCAAGCGACAAUCGUUAACAACAUUGUUCCAACAACUUGUUCACGCUUGAUGAACGAACAAUGGUUGUUGCAACAUGAUGGAACAAGCGUCAACAAGGUUGAUGAAACAUGCUUGAUAGAUGUUGUCAGAACAAUGUUGUUCAGCGUUGUUCAUUCAUCAGGCGUCAACAAUAUUGUUCGAACAGGCGUGAACAACAUUGAUGAAAGAACAAGUUGUUUUUAGUUGUUCGAACAACCGUGAACAGCAUUGUUAUAAAUAGACAGUAAAAUAAUGAUUUGAACAACACAAAAACUUGUUUUUAUUGGUUGUUUCGAAAUCGCUGGGAUGCAAAACGGACGAAUGCGACGAAUAUCACGAGAGCAAGAAAUCAAACGGGCUUUUACAGCAAAAUAAAUGUCAUUUAAACUUUGUGGUUUUUUCUGAAGAUUGAGAGGAAAAUACUGAAAAAAAUAACUUGGUAAGUGUCUUGUUUUGAGGUAAGGUUAGUUGUAAAAGCUUAAAACAACCCGACCUUUUGAUUUUAGUCAUUUUCAUAGUGCACGACGAAGAAAUGCACACGCACAUUUAAACUUUAUAGUACUUUUAUAUAGGCAUUGCAUUUUGAUAUUUUUCUCUAUAUUUUCAGUAUAUAUGAAACAAGAAACCGCUGUUAUACUGUAAUAAAAGCCGUAAUAUAAACAAAACAUUUAAUUCUCAAAAUAUUGUUUAAAUUUUUCCAAUUACACUCUAAAUUUCUGUCAGAGUCUUUUUAACUUUGAAAUUUGAAUAUGUCAAAAACGCUAUCAUAUCAUAUGUCCUCCGCUCCUUCCGUCCCUAUUGUUGUUUGUAAUUAAUUUAAGUUUGAUCACUGCUAUAUAUAAACAAUUCCUAUUGUGUUUUAACAAGGUCAACCAAAUACUUGAUCAGUUUACACACCAAGAAUGAUGUAUUUACUGCAUAUAAUAUGUAAUGGAUAGAUUAUAGGUAGGUAGGUAAGAGUGCAUACAGUUAAAUAAUUAGCCAUUUCUCAUAUUUCCUUUUAUUUCCUGGUUAAGCAGGUGACUAUAAUUGUCAUGGAAGGUAUAUGAAGGAGGUAGCUAUGAUUUUAUCACAUGGCUAUGGGGGAUACUUAGGGACCGUUCAUUAUUUAUACCUGGGGUUGGUACCGAAGAGAAGCGAGAAACACUGUAAAUCUUUCAUUUACCCAACCUCAACAAUGGUCAAAAUAAUGUUUACCCAACCCAUGUGUUGCUGUACUUCAUAAUAAUUAAACACACAAGAUUAUGGUUACAGAAAUGAAGUUGCUUAAAUUCUAAAAGCUCGUAAACUCACUGAGUGUGCCAAAGCAAUCACGUUUCUGCUGAUCAAUGAUGGAGUCCUUGCUGAUCAAUGAUGGAGUCCUUCCUCAAUCACUGAUGGUCUAUUUUUGUACAGAACGUAUUGUACACAUUUUUUCUUUAUAUUUUCCAAUGCAUGGUAAUUUUUUUACCCAACCCAUCAGCUAGUCAAAAACCUGAUUACCCAACCCAUAUCUCUUCGGUACCAACCCCUGGUAUAAAUAAUGAACUGUCCCUUAUGACCAUUAUUAUGCUCACAUGUAAUUAUUGUCUCAUUUUUAUCCUUUUUGUAGUGUAAACUUAAGUAUAAAAAUAAAGAUUUAUGAAUAUGUCAGACAAAUUAUAUACAAUGGGUGAUCACUUGGUAAGUAAUUUUUAUACCUUUGUUGUGUUCUGUGUAGAUGGAGGCUAUUUUGGCAAUAGCCAUGCACUUAGACAUAGCAUGACCAGUCCAUAUGUGGACUGCCUAUGUCUAUUAAUUUAAACAUGAUUGAAUACCCAAAUUAGAUUCAAGAUUAUGAUAUGUCCCAGGCAUGGAUCCAAAAAUGACCAUGUACUGAAGUUAUAUGGCAUGAGCCAUGUAAAAUAUGGUGGGAAACAUACAAUUGGGGCUGCAUCCCACCAUAAUGCACUAGUCAAUUGAAACCCCGACCCCCGGGAUAGGGAGGGGAAAUUAACAUUUUGACAAUGUUAAAUUUUGGACAUUUCCCUGCUACCGGGAGAAUAUUGACUGUUAAAAUUACUGUCCCUAUGGCCCCAGCACUAAUUUGCAAAUUUUCAUGACUUGGGAAAUUUUCAUGACUUGGGAAUUGUCCUGGCUAAUAAAUUGACUUGUUAUUUACCCUGUACCCCGGGGGAAAUCUGCAUUAAGACCGUGUUAAUCCACGGCCAUUCCCCCAUUAAUUCCCCGCCCUGUCCCGGGGUUGGGGGUUUCAAUUGACUAGUGCAUGCAUAAACAUUGCAAAGGUCCGUUUUGUAAAUUAAUGGCACUUUGUAUUUAAUCUUAAUUUAUAGGGCCUGUGAGUUCAUAUCUGGAAUAAAAUAGUGGCAAAUCUACAGAAAUAUCACUGCUAAGGAGUGUCAAACAAAUUCAGGAGGACUGAAUUAACUGGAUGUUCUCAGGAUGAAAAAGAAAUUGUUGACUUUAAUUGAAUAAUCAUUAUCAUUAAUGUAAGGUUAAAAAUAUUGAACAUUCAAAAGGAUGCAGACAGAAAAUUGAAAGUAGGGCCUGAAUUUCAGGUUAAGUGAUCCAGGAAUGGGGUUGGCCCUCUGCCAGUAUUUAAUAUGAACUCAAAAGUCAAAACACUUAACACUAUGAAGUAUUUAGAUUUAUAAAUAGUACUUAGUAUUUUAU